rnacentral:rRNA from 1 species
UACGGAAGGUCCGGGCGUUAUCCGGAUUUAUUGGGUUUAAAGGGAGCGUAGGCCGGAGAUUAAGCGUGUUGUGAAAUGUAGACGCUCAACGUCUGCACUGCAGCGCGAACUGGUUUCCUUGAGUACGCACAAAGUGGGCGGAAUUCGUGGUGUAGCGGUGAAAUGCUUAGAUAUCACGAAGAACUCCGAUUGCGAAGGUAGCUCACUGGAGCGCAACUGACGCUGAAGCUCGAAAGUGCGGGUAUCGAACAGG